UAAGAGGUCCAGCCUGCCCAGUGACUCUAGUUCAACGGCCGCGGUAUCCUGACCGUGCGAAGGUAGCGUAAUCACUUGUCUUUUAAAUUGAGACUAGUAUGAAAGGCACCACGAGAAUUAAACUGUCUCCUUUUUCUAAUCUGUGAAACUGAUCCCCCCGUGAAGAAGCGGGGAUUUUGAUAUAAGACGAGAAGACCCUAUGGAGCUUCAGACAAAUAACAAUGCCCUCCCUUUUUUUUCUAAAAAAUACCCGAACAUCUUAAUUAUUUAGUCUUAGGUUGGGGCGACCAUGGAGUAAAAAUCACCCUCCAUGCUGAACAGGACCUCCUUAAAUAAGAGUAACAACUCUAAGAAUCAAUAAAUUGACACAUUUGACCCAAUUACUUGAUCAACGAAACAAGUUACCCUAGG
rnacentral:rRNA from 1 species